rnacentral:rRNA from 1 species
GACGAACGCUGGCGGCGUGCCUAAUACAUGCAAGUCGAGCGCAGGAAACUGACGGAACUCUUCGGAGGGAAGGCAGUGGAAUGAGCGGCGGACGGGUGAGUAACACGUAAGGAACCUGCCUCAAGGAUUGGGAUAACUCCGAGAAAUCGGAGCUAAUACCGGAUAGUUCAACGGACCGCAUGGUCCGCUGAUGAAAGGCGCUCCGGCGUCACCUUGAGAUGGCCUUGCGGUGCAUUAGCUAGUUGGUGGGGUAACGGCCCACCAAGGCGACGAUGCAUAGCCGACCUGAGAGGGUGAUCGGCCACACUGGGACUGAGACACGGCCCAGACUCCUACGGGAGGCAGCAGUAGGGAAUCUUCCACAGUGGACGAAAGUCUGAUGGAGCAACGCCGCGUGAGUGAUGAAGGUUUUCGGAUCGUAAAACUCUGUUGUAAGGGAAGAACACGUACGAGAGGAAAUGCUCGUACCUUGACGGUACCUUACGAGAAAGCCACGGCUAACUUCGUGCCAGCAGCCGCCGUAA